GAAAUACGAUAAGUAAUGUGAAUUGCAGAAUUCAGUGAAUCAUCGAAUCUUUGAACGCACCUUGCGCUCCUUGGUAUUCCUUGGAGCAUGCCUGUUUGAGUAUCAUGAAAUCUUCAAAGUAAAUCUUUUGUUAACUCAAUUGGUUUCUACUUUGGUAUUGGAGGUCUUUGCAGCUUCACACCUGCUCCUCUUUGUUCAUUAGCUGGAUCUCAGUGUUAUGCUUGGUUCCACUCGGCGUGAUAAGUUAUCUAUCGCUGAGGACACUGUAAAAGGUGGCCAAGGUAAAUGCAGAUGAACCGCUUCUAAUAGUCCAUUGACUUGGACAAUACUUUUAUGAUCUGAUCUCAAAUCAGGUAGGACUACCCGCUGAACUUAAGC
rnacentral:misc_RNA from 1 species